GAAAGAUUAUUCUAGUUUCAGAGGCAGGCAUGGAGAUGUUUUUGGCCCCAGGGAACUGAGGCUCAGGCCUGGAGCUCCCCGGGGGCCCUGGUUCUCUGGUUCUUUAUUAAUAGACUCAGCUUCGCAGCCGGGGGAGCUGCCGACCGGGGGAAGACAGCUGCCGCGUGGUCGGCUGGAGGGGAAUGAGGCCUCCCCAGUGCCGCUGCAGUCGCAGGCUCGAGAGUACGGCCUCCAUGGCACAGGUGAGCGUGGCGCCUCGAUGCCCCCACAGACUAGGUCCCUGUCCCUGCCCCGCCCGGCCUGCAGGUGGCACCGAGGCGGGGCGCAGGGAAGGGCGCACUGUCAAGGCCAAAGAGCCCUGGGAACAGACAAGGCGCGAGGCCAAUCCCAGCUGGGCGCGCACCGGGGCGCUGAGCGAAGGAGGAAGUGACCUUGGAGCCGGGACCUGUCGGCGGCUGAGGUUGCAGGGAAAGGAGGGAAGGGCAUUUGAGGCGGACGCCCCGCCCCGCUCAGGCCCCGGGUCCGCCCUCCGCGCGCCGGGAGUCCCCCGCCCGCCGGCGCCGCAGCCGGACCCGCCUCAGCCAAUCCGCUGCCGCCGGCGUCGGGUGCGCUCGGCCUCACCCGCGGCCCUCCUUUCCCGGAGCCCGCUCGCCGCUCGCUCACUCAGCCGCCGCUGCCGCCGCUGCCACCGCUGCCACAGCCACCGCCGCCGCCGCCGCUGCCGCUGCCGCACCUCCGUCGCUGACUCGAUAAUUCCUGAAGAUGGCAGAAGCUCACCAAGCUGUGGCCUUUCAGUUCACGGUCACUCCGGAUGGGAUUGACCUGCGGCUGAGCCAUGAAGCUCUUAGACAAAUCUAUCUCUCUGGACUUCAUUCCUGGAAGAAGAAGUUCAUCCGAUUCAAGGUUUGCUGAGAUGUGUUGAAAUCUACACAGUAUGCCUUUUAAUGUCUAAGAACGGGGCUCUUGCAGUGAUUGAGGUCUACGUGUUUCAGAUUGGCGAUUGCAUAUCACUUACCUAUUUCCACGGUACUUAAGGCUUGGGGACACCGUCACACAGACUUUAGCUCACUGGAUGCUUGGAGCAGCUCCAUUAGGCAGGUAGAGGGAGUUGGCAUGCUCUAAAGCAGGCCGGGAAAUCGAGGCUCACAGGGCCAGCGACCUACUUAAUAGAAGGCAGAGUAAAGACUAGAAUUCACAUCUUCUGUCUGAGUCAGAAUCCUUUACACCGUGUUCAAAAAGGAUUUUUUCCGGGCCAGGUGCAGUGGCUCACACCUGUAAUCCCUGCACUUUGGGAAGCUGAGGUGGGUGGAUCGCUUGAGCUCACCAGCCUGGGUGACACGACAAAACCCCAUCUCUACAAAAAAUACAAAAAUUAGGCAGGUGUGUUGGCAUGCACCUGUAGUCCCAGCUACUCAGGAGGCUGAUAUGGGAGGAUCGCUUGAACCUGAGAGGCAGAGACUGCAGUGAACCAUGAUUGAGCCACCACACUCCAGCCUGGGCAACAGAGCGAGACUUUGUCUCAAAAAAAAUUUUUUUUCCCAAACUUCAGCAAGUAGAUGUAAUAAUUACUUUGUUGAUAAAACAUUCACACACUAGAAACUCUCCACAUAAGGGCCAGGCACGGUGGCUCACGCCUGUAAUCCCAGCACUUUGGGAGGCCGAGACGGGCGGAUCACAAGGUCAGGAGAUCGAGACCAUCCUGGCUAACACGGUGAAACCCCGUCUCUACUAAAAAAUACAAAAAAUUAGCCGGGCGUGGUAGUGGACGCCUGUAGUCCCAGCUACUCGGGAGGCGGAGGCAGGAGAAUGGCCUGAACCCGG
rnacentral:lncRNA from 1 species